UACGGGGGGUGCGAGCGUUGUCCGGAAUCACUGGGCGUAAAGGGCGCGUAGGUGGUUUGAUAAGGGUGUGGUGAAAGUCCGGGGCUCAACCCCGGAUCUGCCGUGCCGACUGUCAAACUCGAGGGCUGUAGAGGCAGACGGAAUUCCGGGUGUAGCGGUGGAAUGCGCAGAUAUCAGGAGGAACACCGGUGGCGAAGGCGGGUCUCUGGGCAGUAACUGACGCUGAGGAGCGAAAGCGUGGGGAGCGAACAGG
rnacentral:rRNA from 1 species